ensembl:lincRNA
AUGGGCAGGAGUGGAAUGGAGUUCACAUUUUUUUGCAGCAAAUUUGUACUGAUCCAAUCAGUGGCCUUCACUGAUGGAACUCGGGAGCUUCUGGAAGUGGGAAGAGCUGUCCCAUUGUUGGUGAGCAUUAGGUCCACCACGGUGAAGGUUCAGGGGCCCUUGGACAACAUUUCGUGGAUGCUUAUGAAAAAGGCACCUGCCUGCUCGAGCGUUCUUCCCAGAUCUCUCAGGCCCGAAGUCUCCAGGGUCUGGAUAAGGGGACAGCAUGCUCUGAGCCAGGGGUUAGGGGAAGUGGGAACAGAUGAAAGCUGGUUUUUUUUUUUUUUUUCGCAUGAGCUGAUGUGUGAUCCUCACAAUCACUGUAUUUACAAGAAUCUGCCUACACAUGGGGCAUUACUCAGUCCUCCCUGAAACACAUGUGAAAAGCUAAACAUCGCUAUCUCCGUUUCCCUUAAGGAAAUAAGAUGGAACCUGCCCCCCAAAUGGCCCAAGUAGAAAGGAGCAGAGGCAGGAUUCGAACUCAGGGCUCAGGACGUGUCCCUGGCUCUGCCCUACUGCACAACGCCACCUUCACUUCUCAGCCGUUUCAGUCCCUCUCAUCCUCCCUCUAGCCAGUUCAGACAUGGAAAUCCUUGCCAAUUCACUUUUUUUUAUUUUAGGAAAUGGAAGGGCCCAGGAAAUAAACUUGAAAUGUUCAGACUUUUAGCUGAAAGCAUUUCAGAGGAACUGGCUCUGUGUGUGUGUGUGUGUUUAAAGAGAAGAGUUGAAACUGUUUGCUCAGAGGGGUGUGGAAAUUUUUCUGGCGUUUCCUUGGUUACACGAUUUUCUAGGGUGCUAGGGAUGGCCCCACCAAAUCCUGUUAGAAGUAUUUUAUAAAUGUAUGAAUAUUUUACCUUAAACCCCCUCCACUCAAAAAUCCAUAGAAGCGGAAAUUGAUCUUUGUUUACAGCAAGACCGUUAACAGUUAAUUCCUUCCCACAACCACCGAAUCCAUCUUCUCUCAAGGCCAGAAAUAGCAGUGCCUGGGGUUUUGGUGGGCAGACGGAGGGGAGGCUCCCACAGACACACCGGGUCUGGCCCCUCGAGGUUCAUCCCGGCCCCCGGCCGCCGUGGUGUCACCGGAGUCCACGGGGCAGAGCUCCCCUCGUGGUGUCUGUGGUCAGCCCAGGACCCAGAAGUGUCACCCUUCCCAGGAUCCAGUGUCCCGAUGAAGUCAGAGUUCCUGGGCUCUGGAUUCGGUUACCAAUAAUUGCCUUGCGAACUGGCAGAUGCAAAAAUAAACACUUUCUGAGCCUGAAGGACACGGAGCUCUGGGGGUGGCCCACCAGGCGGGCUGCGAGAGCGCUGCCGUGGAAGCCACCUGGGGGGAGUUGGGGUGCGGGGGUUCGGGCCUCAGGCUCUGGGUCUGGAACAUUCACGCCCUGGGGAAGCCCAGUCCCGGGUGAAGGGUGGUGGGCUCAGUUUUCCCUGACUUUUCGCCUGCGGGGGAGGGAAAGAUGCUCUGAUGGGGCAGGCCUGGGUCCCCUGGGGGUGUGGGCCUUCCAGAGUCACAGAAAGCAGAUACGGCAGUGGGAGGGGCCCUGCCAGGACUGACCGUGAGUCACUGUCUCCAGCACCGCGUCCCCGCUCUGAGUCUGCUGUCUCACGCUGUGGUUGCUCCGAGGGGUGAGGGUAGGGCCUGCCCUGGGGACAGAGGCGCAUCCUGAAUUAAAGGGACCUGUGUUCUUCCCACGGGCCAGGUAUGGGGAGCGUAGCGAGAGACUGACCGUGAGUCACUGUCUCCAGCACCGCGUCCCCGCUCUGAGUCUGCUGUCUCACGCUGUGGUUGCUCCGAGGGGUGAGGGUAGGGCCUGCCCUGGGGACAGAGGGGAGAAGAGAAUUCUAAUUCCCACAAGGUCCUGUGUCCUGUGGGCCCUGCCCAGCACCCCCGCCUUCUGGGCGCCUCAGCCCUAAUAUCGCCCCUGCUGUUUCCCAGGUCCCCGGGCUCCUUCCAGCACUGGACCUCAGGGUGUCUGCACUGCCGGUGCCCUCUGCCUGAAAUGCUAGUCUCUGGCCCCUCCCCCGUUGUCACCGCCACAAGGAAGCCCUCCGUGAUCACUCCAUCUACAGUGCCAUCCCGUUUCCUCCCGUCCCUCUUCGUCUGCUUUUCCCCUCACAGCCUCUGAAGUUACCUGGUGAUGUCACGUGGUGGGUGAUUUGCUGACAGUCUGCCUCCCCCUCUGCAACAUCAGCUCUGUGAGGGCAGGGAUUUUUGCUUGUCUUGUUCACUAGGGUAUCCUCAUGCCAAGAACAAAGCCUGGCAGAGCAAAUGCUCCAUAAAGAGAGGACAAAGGUGUGAAUGAACGCUGAACGCCUAAAACACAGUCGGAGAUGAGGCCAUGGAGCUAUGGAUGAGCUGGGCACCAGGGCAGAUACAGCUGUGCUCGCCUCGGGUUGGGGAAAGUGCCAAGGGAAGGGGGUGGGGAUAGCGUGAAGAACCUGGGAGAACUGUUCCCCAGAGGAGCAGUUCUGUGCCUCUGCCCACAGAGGAGGUGAUGUUUCAGAGAGAAGCGUGAAGAGGGAAAUCUCUGGAGUCUGGCCACUUAGGUUUCAAUCUCAGCCUUGCUCCUUCUCUGCUGUGUGAGCCUGAGCGAGUCAGACAGCCUCUCUGAGUCUGUUUCCACAUUUGAAAAUUGGAGCUAAGAGUACCACCUUACGAGUGGUUUGGGAUGGCCCUAAUAUGAUCACACAGUUUGUGCACUUACCCGCGUGCCUGGCAGGUGCCUGAGAAGGCCAAGAAACCCAGUUGGGAAAUCAUCUGCAUGGUGGGAGCCUGGGAGCCACAGUCGGAGAGCCUGGGUGAGCUUUGUGGAGGGCUGCUUCCGACAGGGCAAGGGAACCAGCUGGAAUCUCUUCUGGAUCCAGGAAUCCUAGAAUUGUGUCUACGAUCAUGUCUGAUCACUAGGAGAGCCAGGAUGAGUGUGCACAGCCCGUGUUCAACAGUGCCCCUCGUGGCAAGAAGAAUCAGUGCAUGGAGUGCGUGGCUCCCUGUCCCCAGUUCCGUUCACAAGAAGGGUUGGCUCCCUUCGGACCCAGUAAAUCCCUGAGUUCUUAGACGACGGGAGUGGUGAGGAAGUCAGAGGCUCACAGGAGCUGUUAGAGUUCCUGCUAAUGAAGCUCAGUUUAUUUACUGCAAACACGAAAGCAACAGGGAAGUAUUUGGGUACCUCAUUGCUCACAAAGAUUAUAGAAUAAAUCAGAGGUCAGCAAACUCGUAUUAAAAGACAUCCCUUACAUGUGGACUCUAAAAAGAAAUGAUGCAACAAAUGAACUUAGGCAGCAGAGACUCACGGACUCAGAGAAGGAACCUGCGGUUGCCGGGGUGGUGGCGGUGGAGGGGGCAGGGAUAGCUGGGGAGUUUGGGAUGGACUGUACUGUAUAAAUACUGCUGUAUUUAAAAUGGAUAACCAGUGAGGACAGGGAGCUCUGCUCCACGUCACGCGGCAGCCUGGAUGGGAGGAGUAUUUGGGGGAGGAGUACACGACGCGGCAGCCUGGAUGGGAGGAGUAUUUGGGAGAGGAGUACACAUAUAUGUAUGGCUGGGUCCCUUCGCUGUUUACCUGAAGCUAUCACGAUUUCGUUUGUUAAUUGUCUAUACCUCAAUACAAAAUAAAGAGCGUUUUCAAAGAUUACAUAAUAAAUAUUUUAGCUCUGUUCCAACCAAUGAGAGUUCUUCACUCAUGAUUAUCUUCUUUCUCCUUGACACUGAUGGAAGGCGAAUCACGGACGAGGUGAGAGGUGGGAAGCUUCCGCGUCUGUGAUUUAUACUCAGUUCAGUCCCUUUCAUGCCUAUGUGUGUACACACACGCACAAGCUUAGGAAUGUACUAUUUGCGGUUGUAAAAAUGGAGUUGCUCAUCUUCUGCUCUGAGAGCCUGGAAAAGCUUAUGGAUAUCAAAUAGUGCCCGCUGGCAUUGUCGAGCAAGACACAUCACGGGAACAGCAGCCACUUCCCUUCAGUCUAGCCACGUGCUUACCAUCCAGGCUUAAGCUGGCAUCAGGAUUUUCCACUAGACAGUCCGAUCUGCGUGCUCCAACAGCCAACUCAGAGAUCCUCCUGCCCUCAAAGCCACAGCCGAGUCCAGGGCCCCCGGGAAAACCACCUAGAGAGUUGGGAGAGAAGUCUGGGUCACAGGCGAGGGAAUUCCUUGCAUCCCAGUCCCCUCCUCCUCUCCGCACAGACCUGCCCAUUGUCUUGAGUGUCUUUCUUUAAAACUUUAAGCAGAGCUUUUAACCAUGAUGUGUAACAUAUGUAGGUAUUAUUUAUACGCUCAUAGAUUUUGGAUAUAGGUAUUUGCAAACAGCGGAGUUGCAAAGAUAGGCUUUGAUUUUUAUAUUUUAAUGUACAGAAAUGAGAAUUAGCCUCCAAUUUUGGUAUAAGGGCUUCCCAGGUGGCGCUAGUUAUAAAGAACCCACCUGCCAAUGCAGGAGACUUAAGAGAUGAAGGUUCAGUCCCUGGGUUGGGAAGAUUCCCUAGAAAAGGAAAUGGCAACCCUCUGCAGUAUUCUUGCCUGGAGUAUCCAUGGACAGAGAAGCCUGGCAGACUGUGGUCCAUAGGAUCAGAGAGUUGGACACGAAUGAAGCAACUUAGCACUCUGUUCAGUUCAGCUCAGUCGCUCAGUCGUGUCUAACCCUUUGCGACCCCAUGAACUGCAGCACGCCAGGCCUCCCUGUCCAUCACCAACUCCCAGAGUCCAUCCAAACCCAUGUCCAUUGAGUCGGUGAUGCCAUCCAACCAUCUCAUCCUCUGCCGUCCCCUUCUCCUCCUGUCCUCAAUCUUUCCCAGCAUCAGGGUCUUUUCCAGUGAGUCAGCUCUUCGCAUCAGGUGGCCAAAGUAUUGGAGUUUCAGCUUCAGCAUCAAUCCUUCCAAUGAACACCCAGGACUGAUCUCCUUUAGGAUGGACUGGUUGGAUCUCCUUGCAGUCCAAGGGACUCUCUAAAGUCUUCUCCAACACCACAGUUCAAAAGCAUCAAUUCUUCGG